AUUGAACGCUGGCGGCAGGCUUAACACAUGCAAGUCGAGCGGGGGGAGGUAGCUUGCUACCUAACCUAGCGGCGGACGGGUGAGUAAUGCUUAGGAAUCUGCCUAUUAGUGGGGGACAACAUUUCGAAAGGGAUGCUGAUACCGCAUACGCCCUAAGGGGGAAAGCAGGGGAUCUUCGGACCUUGCGCUAAUAGAUGAGCCUAAGUCGGAUUAGCUAGUUGGUGGGGUAAAGGCCUACCAAGGCGACGAUCUGUAGCGGGUCUGAGAGGAUGAUCCGCCACACUGGGACUGAGAUACGGCCCAGACUCCUACGGGAGGCAGCAGUGGGGAAUAUUGGACAAUGGGCGGAAGCCUGAUCCAGCCAUGCCGCGUGUGUGAAGAAGGCCUUAUGGUUGUAAAGCACUUUAAGCGAGGAGGAGGCUACUUUAGUUAAUACCUAGAGAUAGUGGACGUUACUCGCAGAAUAAGCACCGGCUAACUCUGUGCCAGCAGCCGCGGUAACAC
rnacentral:rRNA from 1 species